UCCUCUCUCUCUCUCUCUCUCUGUCUCUCUCUCCUCUUCUCCCCCUCUCUCUCUCUCUCUCUCUCUCUCUCUCCCCCUUCUCCCCUCUCUCUCUCUCUCCUUCUCCCCCUCUCUCCUCUCUCUCUCUGUCUCUCUCUCUCUCCUCUUCUCCCCCCCCUCUCUCUCUCUCUCUCUCUCUCUCUCUCUCUCGCUUUGUCUCUCCUUCUACUGCACCUGUUGUCUCGACCACUGAAUGCUCGGCUAUGAAAAGCCAAUUGACAUUUACUCCUGAGGUGCUGACCUGUUGCACCCUCAACAACCACUGUGAUUAUUAUGAACGUUUGAACACCUUGAAGACCCUUAUAAAAAAAGUUAGCAUUCAGACUGCAGUAUAACUGCAGUACGCUACAAAUACUGUGUCAAAAAUAACCGUUUUGUUUUACUGCAGUCAUUUUGAAGUGUAACUGCAGUUAGAGUGCAGGAAUUACUGCAAUUACUGCGUCCAAAAUACCACAGUCGACUGCAGUUUCAAAACUGCAAUCUUUUUUUGUAAGGGCAAUGAUCAGGCCUUAAUGGUCAUGUACUCCUAUAGUCUCCACCCGGCACAGACAGAAGAGGACUGGCCACCCCUCAUAGCCUGGUUCCUCUCUAGGUUUCUUCCUAGGUUCUGGCCUUUCUAGGGAGUUUUUCCUAGCCACCGUGCUUCUACACCUACAUUGCUUGCUGUUUGGGGGUUUUAGGCUGGGUUUCUGUAUAAGCACUGACAUCUGCUGAUGUUAAAAAGGGCUUUAUAAAUAAUGUCGUUCAAUGAGAGACGACUCGCCCUCAUGCACAUUUUUUCACUUGAGAAAUACUGCACACCAAACAUCCUAGUCAGACGCAAAAUUGCGUGACUAAGAUCUCCUUGGCAACGAUGUAAAAAUUAAUGACAGAUUUCUUGAGUUAUUUUUAGAUGAUUUCCGACGCUACGGCGUCUCAAAAUGGACAAACAGUACUAUUAUUAUAACAGUACCACCUUCCUGUAGGUUUACACCAGGGCUCUCCAACCCUGUUCCUGGAGAGAUACCCUCCUGUAGGUUUACACCAGAUCUCUCCAACCCUGUUCCUGGAGCACCACCUUCCUGGAGGUUUACACCAGGGCUCUCCAACCCUGUUCCUGGAGAGAUACCCUCCUGUAGGUUUACACCAGGUCUCUCCAACCCAGUUCCUGGAGCACCACCUUCCUGUAGGGUUUUGCAUCAACCCCAGUUGUAACUAAUCUGGUUCCGCUUAUCAACCAGCUAAUUAUUAGAAUCAGGUGUGCUAGAUGAGGGUUGGAGUGAAAAGCUACAGGACGGUCAGUAGCUGUCCAGGAACGGGG
rnacentral:lncRNA from 1 species